rnacentral:rRNA from 1 species
GAUGAACGCUGGCGGCGUGCCUAAUACAUGCAAGUCGAGCGAACAGACGAGGAGCUUGCUCCUCUGACGUUAGCGGCGGACGGGUGAGUAACACGUGGAUAACCUACCUAUAAGACUGGGAUAACUUCGGGAAACCGGAGCUAAUACCGGAUAAUAUAUUGAACCGCAUGGUUCAAUAGUGAAAGACGGUUUUGCUGUCACUUAUAGAUGGAUCCGCGCCGCAUUAGCUAGUUGGUAAGGUAACGGCUUACCAAGGCAACGAUGCGUAGCCGACCUGAGAGGGUGUUCGGCCACACUGGAACUGAGACACGGUCCAGACUCCUACGAGAGGCAGCAGUAGGGAAUCUUCCGCAAUGGGCGAAAGCCUGACGGAGCAACGCCGCGUGAGUGAUGAAGGUCUUCGGAUCGUAAAACUCUGUUAUUAGGGAAGAACAAAAGUGUAAGUAACUAUGCACGUCUUGACGGUACCUAAUCAGAAAGCCACGGCUAACUACGUG